rnacentral:rRNA from 1 species
GUCCAGGAAAUGAAUAUAAGUUCAGCUUUAAAAAAUACCAAAAAUAUAAAUAAAUGCACUGUAUUUUUAAAAGUUAGUCUAAAAGGGUACAGCCUUUUAGAAACGGAUACAACCUUAACUAGAGAGUAAAAUUUGAUAAUACCAUAGUAGGCCCAAAAGCAGCCACCAAUUAAGAAAGCGUUAAAGCUCAACAAUAAACUUAUAUUAAUUCCAAUAACAAAUAAUCAACUCCUAGCCUUAAUACUGGACUAAUCUAUAAAAAUAGAAGCAAUAAUGUUAAUAUGAGUAACAAGAAGUCUCUUCUCCUUGCACGAGUUUAAGUCAGUAUCUGAUAAUAUUCUGACUGUUAACAGCAAAAUAAGAAUAACCCAACCAUAAAUAACUUAUUAAAUAUACUGUUAAUCCAACACAGGAGUGCACUUAAGGAAAGAUUAAAAGAAGUAAAAGGAACUCGGCAAACAUUAAACCCCGCCUGUUUACCAAAAACAUCACCUCCAGCAUAACUAGUAUUGGAGGCACUGCCUGCCCAGUGACAAUCGUUAAACGGCCGCGGUAUCCUGACCGUGCAAAGGUAGCAUAAUCAUUUGUUCUCUAAAUAAGGACUUGUAUGAAUGGCCAAACGAGGGUUUUACUGUCUCUUACUUCCAAUCAGUGAAAUUGACCUUCCCGUGAAGAGGCGGGAAUAUAUCAACAAGACGAGAAGACCCUAUGGAGCUUUAACUACUUAGCCCAAAGAAAUAAAUUUAACAACUAAGGAAACAACAAUACUCUUUAUGGGCUAACAGCUUUGGUUGGGGUGACCUCGGAGAACAGAAAAUCCUCCGAGCGAUUUUAAAGACUAGACCUACAAGUCAAAUCACAUAAUCGCUUAUUGAUCCAAAAAAUUGAUCAACGGAACAAGUUACCCUAGGGAUAACAGCGCAAUCCUAUUCAAGAGUCCAUAUCGACAAUAGGGUUUACGACCUCGAUGUUGGAUCAGGACAUCCCGAUGGUGCAACCGCUAUCAAAGGUUCGUUUGUUCAACGAUUAAAG